CGGGGAUAAAGCAGGUAGCAAACCAUUUAUGGUACUUGCAACUGAGAUACGUUUAUUUUCAAAUGAACAGUUGUGACCUACCACUGCAAUCUGCGUGGCGUCAUAGCCCUGCCCAUGGCUGGCCGUGGCCUUCUCAAAUUCGAACAAACCAAGAGGGAACCAUGAAGCAAAGUUUAGGAGUUUCAGCUUUAUUAAGAAGCACUUUCUGUAACCCUCUAGCAGUCAUAAACAACAAUGCUCUAUACGCAAGGUAAAUAAAACACAGACUACUCUAGCACAUUUCAUGUUAUAUUUUUUCUUUUAUAUAUAAAUCAUCUUAUCAAAAUUGAAUCUGUUAGCAUCUUCACCAGAGCAGACCGUCUAACAAAAUCAAAGAGCAUAUGUAGUAGUUGCUGCCUCAACUUUCCCACCAAAAGAAUCCUAGCAUCAAGCCGUCCAACCAACAAAUUAAGAUUAGGCGAUUCAUUCUUGCACUACCAACAAAUUGUUCCCAAUUCCCACCAAGAGUAAUGUGAGGAGGAUUCAGAUCGAUUCAAUUGACAAUUGGUACAAAUAGGGGCUAAUGCCUAAUGGGACUCACCUGUAUCAGGAGGGGCGCUCAUCGCAGGCGAGCUGCUGGUGUGCAGCAGCGGUUGCGCCGCGCGAAGCAGCGACGGCGGCGCAGGUCGGAGAGGCGUCGUGGCGUUCGAAGGGUGCUCAGGCGUGAAGCAGCAGCGACGUUGUGGAGCCGGCGGCGCAUUUGGAUGGAGCCGGGAGCCGAUAGAGGGGCAGUAUUUUUUUUUUCUGUGAUUUAAUUGUGGGGGAGAGAAUCAUUAGCGUUGAUUUAUCCGGUGGCAUUCUACGAAGAAUUGUUUGGGUGGUUCCUCGAGCAGUGGCAUUUUGAGGGACCCCUUUCCUUCCCCACCCGCCAUGGCGGCGCCACCGGAGCUCGUCGACGACGCCAUGGAGGAGAUCUUCCUCCGCCUGCCCCCAGCCGAGCCCGCGCACCUCGUCCGCGCCGCCCUCGUCUGCAGGCGGUGGCGGCGCAUCCUCACCGGCGGGGCCUUCGUCCGCCGGUACCGCGCGUUCCACGGGGCGGCCCCUCUGCUCGGCUUCCUCGACAACACGAUCGAUCUCCACGGCGCCAGGGCCCCUCGCUUCUCCCCAACCUCAUCCGCCUCCCCGUUUCACAGGGGUCCGUUCGACUGCAUCUGCUGGGAUGUCCUCGACUGCCGCCACGGCCGCGUCCUCCUCGGCCUCUUCGCCGGGAGGGUCAACCUCGUCGUGUGGGACCCCGUCACCGGCCACCACCAGGCGCUGCCGGACCCCGGUUUGCUCCCGGGGUACUACAGCGCGGCAGUGCUCUGCGGCACCGCGCGCGGCGGCUGCGGCUGCGACAACCUCCACUGCUGCCGCGACGGCGGUGGCCCGUUCCGCGUCGUGCUGGCAGGGAUGGAGUCGAUGGACUACUUCGCACGGGGGGAGGACGCCGGCGUGCGGGCGCGCCUCUACUGCUCGGAGGCCGCUGCCUGGGUCGCCUCGGCACAUCUACCCUCCAAUUCCCAUGUCAUGCGGAAGCCCAGCGCCGUCGUCGGGGACGACGUCUACUUCCAGCUGAUGUCGGCCUACGUGAUUCUGAGGUACGACACGGCCAGGAACCGCCUGUCCACCUUCGACCCUCCGCCGGCGCACGCCGACGAAGGGGGCAUCGUGCUCAUGCCCAUGGACGGAGAGGACGGUGACGGUUCGUCGCAGCUGGGGCUCGCCGGCGUCAGGGGUUCGAGGCUGUGCCUGCGGUCGACGAGUGUCGGCGCAGAGGGAGAGGGGAUUGCAGGAUGGGUGCGGCGCGGGGACAUUGAGCUCAUGACACGGAUCCCGUUUUUGCCCUAUAGCGAAGCCCAGGUGAUUGCUUCUGCAGAGGGAUUGGGUACCAUCUUCUUCUUCGUCUCAACUGAGGUUGGCCUCUUCGCGAUCGACUUCAAGUCAGGGCAGGAGCGCAAGGUGAGCGAGCCUGGCAACUACAACAACUUCACUGUCUUCCCGUUCAUGAGCUUCUACACUCCAGAUUGUAGAAGCGGCAAGUUACCAUCACCCAGGAGGACAGACUAAUCUAUAUAACUGAGACGAAGAAUGGACCUGGCCGAUCUACAUAUGCAUCAAGUUGAGUUUGCUGGUGCUCUCAUCUUUCUAUUGCAGGGUUGAUGUCUUGCAAGUAAUACAAGCCAACAUAUGGUCAGUUAUGCUCCUCUGCUCUCUGCCUGAUCAUGGUCAGGAAUAUAGGCCCAGGUUCAAUGCAAUUAGAAUGUUGGAUGAGCUAGAGAGUCAACAUUAAAGGAUUCACAUGGGAUGGAAAAGAUGUUGAAGAGAUUUUGGCUAGAUAAUAUACAAAAUAUGGGUUCUGAUCUUUUGAUGCUACUAAUCUGUACCUGUGUAAGUGCAUUAAGCCACUUAAUGUGUUUUGGUUGAUUGAAUGACAACCGCGAUUAAAAGAACUAAUGAUUUUGCUAAGUGUGAAAUAGGGAAAAGCUAUCUCACGGGUAUUUGAUACAAGUUUACAAAAGCCAAAAUCAUGUAUUGUUGUAUGAAGCAAUCUAGUUCAAGCACAAAACAGCAAUGCAAAUGGAAUUAUUGAAAAGGCUUAUUUAUUGUGAAGAUCGCUAUCAAUUAUAUGAAAGCAAAAAUGAAAGGUACAAAAUUGAUUGGAUGAUUCAAAGCAACAUAUGACUUGAAGACUUGAGAUGGUGAAGAUAGCAAGGAAAGGCUUCGAGGUACUAAGCAAAGGUGAAGGGCAAGCGACGGCUUGACGGUCGAAAAACCUAGCUCGGGUGAAGAAGGAAUUACUUGCAUUUAGUUGAGGUACUAAGGGUCAUGUUGAUGUGGAGGAUCAAAUCUACUAUUGAAGUAGUUAAUGGAAAUGACUUGGUACAUUUGGAGUCAAAUCUAUCUAUUGAAUGGAACGAAGUCAUGUGCUCAAGAUGGCUAUGCUAAGUUGAAAACAAGUUUGACAUGAUGACACCCUCAGCUUAUCAAGAAUUGAAAGAAAGGCUUUGGUUUCAUGAAAGCUUUUCAAGCGGUUUCAAUUUGAUUUAUGUUUUGAUCUUGAGUUGAUAGGAAAGCCGUACUAUUAAGAGGGAUGCAUCAUGAUCAUAGAUUAAUACUCUCUAGUGCUCAAGUCAACCCAUGUGAGGUCAUAGAGAGACUAACCUGAGAGUUGAACUCAAUGUGCACAGGCCGUGCAUAUCAGACGUGUCCGGUAUGGGUACUGUUGUGCAUACUGACUUUUUGAGAUGUGAUGACCAAGGAGCUGUUCCGGCGCGUGUCAGCACUUCCGGCGCACGUCAGCAAGUGCUGACACGUCGGAAGUUCCGACGUACGUCGGGAGUUCCGACGUAGGCUUCUCCGUGGUAGAGAGUAGCAAGCUAACAGGGGUAAGCCUUUUGGCCUCGACCAUAUCGGACGUGUCCGGUAUGAUACCGGACGUGUCCGGUAUGGCCAACGGCUAGUUAACGGCUAGUUUUCAAAACUGUCUUUAUAUACCCCUCAGCCCUCUUCUUUUGGGGCUGCUGAUUCUACUGGUUUUGGACAUAUUGCUGAGCUUUGCUAACUCUCCCCAACCCUCUCUUUGUGAGUGUUUGAUCUACUUUGACAAAUCCAACUUGUGGGUUGAAAGAUUUUUGAAUUAGAGAGCAAGCCACCACUUGAGCACUUGAGCAUAUUGUCUAUUUCGUGAUUUGCAUUUGUUGCUCUUGGACUCUUCGGUCCUAGACGGUUAGGCGUCGCCGGAGAGCACCGAAGUGUUUGUGGUUGCCUCGGAUUGUUUGUGCAGGUCGGAUUUCGUCUCCGCAAGGGAAGAAAUCAGCUAGUGGAAAGAGAAUUUGGAGUUGAAAGGUGGACCUUUGAGCUAGAGUGACCUUAGUGGUAGCCUCUAGGUCAUCGAGUGCCUUAUCCGUAGCCCCCUCAACGAAGAUUAGGUCUCGACGGAGACUAAACUUCGGUAGAGGAAGAAGUUUCACAGUACAAGGAUUGAAUAUCCUCUGCUCGUGAAUUCCGGACGCGUCCGAGAUCAAGCCGAACGUGUCUGAUUUGGGACAGCACAGCACUUCAUAUAUAAAUUGUUUGAUCUGUGUUGGAUACUAGUUUGCAGGGUGUUGUAUAUUUAUAUUUCUCCAUAUAAGCUGUAUACAGGUUUAGGAGAAGCUGGAGAACAGAAACAACUAAGUGUCGUGUGCUCGUGAAUUUUGGACGUGUCCGUGUUGGUACCGGACGCGUCCGGUAUUUGCGAGUUGUCAAGAAUAUUUCUUUCUACGAUCUAAUCUCAGUGGUGCAGGUGUUAGAAUUAUUUAAUAUUGUUUACAACUGUUUCUCUGAUUAUCUUUGUGUGGAGUUUUUCAUUUACGUGGAAAACUCCAGUUCUAAUCGUUUUCGCAUUUUAAGUUGCAAAUUUCCAAAAACGCCUAUUCACCCCCCCUCUAGGUGCAUCCUUGGUCCUUUCAACCUGGGCAAGCAAGUCAAGAAUACCGGCAUCCACUCGAACGAAAAUUAUUUACUUACAUCGUCCAUUUCAUUCAACACAAUGAGUGAUAACACCUUUGUGAUUUGUACUCAGGUGUGUUGUAUAUGCUUGAGAAUGUGAGUUUUUU